GACGAACGCUGGCGGCGUGCCUAAUACAUGCAAGUCGAGCGGUGAGGAUUUGUGCUUGCACCGUUUUGGAGUGCAGCGAACGGGUGAGUAACGCGUGGGAAAUCUCCCUUUGAGCGGGAGACAAUCUGUGGAAACGGGUGCUAAUACCGCAUAACAACUUUAAACAUAGGUUUGAAGGUUGAAAGAUGCAGUUGCAUCACUCAAUGAUGAUCCCGCGUUGUAUUAGGAUGUUGGUGAGGUAAAGGCGCACCAAGGCGGUGAUACAGAGCCGACCUGAUAGGGUGAUCGGCCGCCUUGGGACUGUGACCCGGCCCAAACUCCUUCGGGAAGGGGCAGGAGGGAUACGUCGGCAAUGGGUGAAAGUCUGUGCGAGAAAGGCCGAGGGCGUGAAGAAGGUUGUCGGGUGGUAAAACACGGUUGGCAGGGUAGAACGUUGGUGAGAGUGGAAAGCUCAGCAAGUGACGGUAACUACUCAGAAAGCGACGGCUAACUACGUG
rnacentral:rRNA from 1 species